rnacentral:rRNA from 1 species
UACAGAGGUCUCAAGCGUUGUUCGGAUUCAUUGGGCGUAAAGGGUGCGUAGGUGGCGCGCUAAGUUCAGGUGUGAAAUUUCGGAGCUUAACUCCGAAACUGCAUUUGAUACUGGCGUGCUUGAGGACGUGGAGAGGAGACUGGAAUUCAUGGUGUAGCAGUGAAAGUACGUAGAGAUCAUGAGGAAGACCAGUGGCGAAGGCGGGUCUCUGGACAAGUUCCUGGACACUGAGGCACGAAGGCCAGGGGAGCAAACGGG